rnacentral:tRNA from 1 species
GAGGCUGUGGCUCAAUGGUAGAGCACUCAUCUGGCAUGCAUGAGGAACUGGGUUCAAUCCUCAGCAUCA